rnacentral:rRNA from 1 species
GACGAACGCUGGCGGCGUGCUUAACACAUGCAAGUCGAGCGGAGCGGCGCAGGGGUGAGUAACGCGCGUGUAACUGCCCCGCUCUCUGGGGUAACCGUUGGAAACGGGUGCCUAUACCGGCAUGUGUGGGAUGGCUCGGGGGCUAUCAGCUUGUUGGUGGGGUAGUGGAUUACCAAGGCGACGACGGGUAGCCGGCCUGGGAGCUGGACCGGCCACAAGGGGCUGCGGUACGGCCCAGACUACUACGGUAGGCAGCAGUGGAGAGUAUUGCACAACGAUGGAAACUCUGAUACAGCAACGCCGGGUGCGGGAUGACCGCUUACGUGGUGUAAACCGCAUUCAGCUAUGACCCGGUAGUAGCAGAAUAAGCACCGGCUAACUACGUGCCAGCAGCCGCGGUAAUAC